AGGUUAAGUUAAGAAGGGCGCACGGUGGAUGCCUUGGCACUAGGAGCCGAUGAAGGACGGUACUAACACCGAUAUGCUUCGGGGAGCUGUACGUAAGCUUUGAUCCGGAGAUUUCCGAAUGGGGGAACCCAGCCAACUUAGUCGUUGGCUACUCAUAAGUGAAUACAUAGCUUAUGAGAGGUAAACGUGGGGAACUGAAACAUCUCAGUACCUGCAGGAACAGAAAGAAAAUUCGAUUCCCUAAGUAGCGGCGAGCGAACGGGGAACAGCCCAAACCAUGAUGCUUGCAUUGUGGGGUUGUAGGACUGAACUUUGGAGUUACCAAAGUCGUUGAUAACUGAGUCAGUUGGAAUGCUGAACAAAACAGGGUGAAAGUCCCGUAAGUCAAAUCAACGGCUCUUCGUUCAGGAUCCUGAGUACGGCGGAACACGUGAAAUUCCGUCGGAAUCUGGGAGGACCAUCUCCCAAGGCUAAAUACUACCUAGUGACCGAUAGUGGACCAGUACCGUGAGGGAAAGGUGAAAAGAACCCCGGAAGGGGAGUGAAACAGUUCCUGAAACCGUGUGCCUACAAUUAGUUAGAGCCCGUUAAUGGGUGAUAGCGUGCCUUUUGUAGAAUGAACCGGCGAGUUACGUUUGCAUGCGAGGUUAAGCUGAUAAGGCGGAGCCAUAGCGAAAGCGAGUCUGAAUAGGGCGUUUAGUAUGUAGACGUAGACCCGAAACCAAGUGACCUACCCAUGUCCAGGUUGAAGGUGUGGUAAAACACACUGGAGGACCGAACCCGUGUAUGUUGAAAAAUGCUGGGAUGAGGUGUGGGUAGCGGUGAAAUUCCAAACGAACUUGGAGAUAGCUGGUUCUCUUCGAAAUAGCUUUAGGGCUAGCCUCGGAAUUGACCAUCAUGGAGGUAGAGCACUGUUUGGACUAGGGGCCCGUCUUGGGUUACUGAAUUCAGAUAAACUCCGAAUGCCAUUGAUGAAUUAUCCGGGAGUCAGACAGUGAGUGAUAAGAUCCAUUGUCGAAAGGGAAACAGCCCAGACCACCAGUUAAGGUCCCCAAAUUUAUGUUAAGUGGAAAAGGAUGUGGGGUUGCAUAGACAACUAGGAUGUUGGCUCAGAAGCAGCCACCAUUUAAAGAGUGCGUAAUAGCUCACUAGUCGAGUGACCCUGCGCCGAAAAUGUACCGGGGCUAAACAUAAUACCGAAACUGUGGAUGACCACUUAUGUGGUCAUGGUAGGAGAGCGUUCUAAGGGCGUUGAAGGUUGAUCGUGAGGACAACUGGAGCGCUUAGAAGUGAGAAUGCCGGUAUGAGUAGCGAAAGACAGGUGAGAAUCCUGUCCACCGUAUGACUAAGGUUUCCUGGGGAAGGCUCGUCCUCCCAGGGUUAGUCGGGACCUAAGCUGAGGCCGCAAGGCGUAAGCGAUGGCCAACAGGUUGAGAUUCCUGUACUAGUUUAUUUUGUUUGAACGAUGGAGGGACGCAGGAGGCUAAAGGAUCCGCACGAUUGGAAAUGUGCGGCCAAGCAAUAAGUCUUGGUGUGAGUCAAAUGCUUGCACCUGUACGGACAAGUUGUGAUGGGGAGCGAAUUAAGUAGCGAAGUCCUUGAUGUCACACUGCCGAGAAAAGCUUCUAGUGAGAAAUAAACUACCCGUACCGCAAACCGACACAGGUAGUCGAGGAGAGUAUCCUCAGGUGUGCGAGAGAACUCUCGUUAAGGAACUCGGCAAAAUGACCCCGUAACUUCGGAAGAAGGGGUGCUGAUCUAACGAUCAGCCGCAGUGAAUAGGCCCAGGCGACUGUUUAUCAAAAACACAGGUCUCUGCUAAAUCGUAAGAUGACGUAUAGGGGCUGACGCCUGCCCGGUGCUGGAAGGUUAAGUGGAUGAGUUAGUACUUCGGUACGAAGCCCAGAAAUGAAGCCCCAGUAAACGGCGGCCGUAACUAUAACGGUCCUAAGGUAGCGAAAUUCCUUGUCGGGUAAGUUCCGACCCGCACGAAAGGCGUAACGAUCUGGGCACUGUCUCGACGAGAGACUCGGUGAAAUUAUAAUACCCGUGAAGAUGCGGGUUACCCGCGACAGGACGGAAAGACCCCAUGGAGCUUUACUGUAGCUUGAUAUUGAGUGUUUGUACUGCUUGUACAGGAUAGGUAGGAGCCGUUGAAGCCGGAACGCUAGUUUCGGUGGAGGCAUUGGUGGGAUACUACCCUUGCAGUAUGAACCCUCUAACCCGCGCCACUCAGCGUGGCGGGAGACAGUGUCAGGUGGGCAGUUUGACUGGGGCGGUCGCCUCCUAAAAAGUAACGGAGGCGCCCAAAGGUUCCCUCAGAAUGGUUGGAAAUCAUUCAUAGCGUGUAAAGGCAUAAGGGAGCUUGACUGCGAGACUUACAGGUCGAGCAGGGACGAAAGUCGGGCUUAGUGAUCCGGUGGUUCCGUAUGGAAGGGCCAUCGCUCAACGGAUAAAAGCUACCCUGGGGAUAACAGGCUUAUCUCCCCAAGAGUCCACAUCGACGGGGAGGUUUGGCACCUCGAUGUCGGCUCAUCACAUCCUGGGGCUGUAGUUGGUCCCAAGGGUUGGGCUGUUCGCCCAUUAAAGUGGUACGCGAGCUGGGUUCAGAACGUCGUGAGACAGUUCGGUCCCUAUCCGUCGCGGGCGUAGGAAAUUUGAGUGGAGCUGUUCCUAGUACGAGAGGACCGGAAUGGACAUACCGCUGGUGUACCAGUUGUGCCGCCAGGCGCAUCGCUGGGUAGCUAAGUAUGGCCGGGAUAAACGCUGAAAGCAUCUAAGUGUGAAGCCCCCCACAAGAUGAGAUUUCCCAUUCCUUUAUGGAAGUAAGACCCCUGAAAGAUGAUCAGGUAGAUAGGUUGGAAGUGGACGUGCCGUGAGGCAUGGAGCGGACCAAUACUAAUCGGUCGAGGACUUAACCAAG
rnacentral:rRNA from 1 species